UGGGGAAUAUUGGACAAUGUGCGCAAGCCUGAUCCAGCCAUGUCGCGUGAGUGAUGAAGGCCCUAGGGUUGUAAAGCCCUUUCACCGGUGAAGAUAAUGACGGUAACCGGAGAAGAAGCCCCGGCUAACUUCGUGCCAGCAGCCGCGGCAAUACGAAGGGGGCUAGCGUUGUUCGGAUUUACUGGGCGUAAAGCGCACGUAGGCGGACUAUUAAGUCAGGGGUGAAAUCCCGGGGCUCAACCCCGGAACUGCCUUUGAUACUGGUAGUCUUGAGUUCGAGAGAGGUGAGGGGUAUUCCGAGUGUAGAGGUGAAAUUCGUAGAUAUUCGGAGGAACACCGGUGGCGAAGGCGGCUCACUGGCUCGAUACUGACGCUGAGGUGCGAGAGCGUGGGGAGCAAACAGG
rnacentral:rRNA from 1 species